CCCCCAAGAAAUGGGCAAACAAACACCUUGUUGGUGGUGGUGCUCUUAUAUCAGUCAGGGCAGAGCAGAUGGCAGUCCUCCAUUCAUCCUAGCUUGGUAUCUGGCUUGGUGGCCAAUGCUAUCUUAUGCCUAGGACUAUAA